rnacentral:rRNA from 1 species
CCCUACGGGGGGCAGCAGUAGGGAAUAUUGCUCAAUGGGGGAAACCCUGAUGCAGCGACGCCGCGUGGGUGAAGAAGCGCCUCGGCGCGUAAAGCCCUGUCAGCAGGGAAGAAAAUGACGGUACCUGGGGAGGAAGCUCCGGCUAACUACGUGCCAGCAGCCGCGGUAAUACGUAGGGAGCAAGCGUUGUCCGGAAUUACUGGGCGUAAAGGGAGCGUAGGCGGGGAUGCAAGUUGGGUGUCAAAACUACCGGCUCAACCGAUAGUCGCACUCAAAACUGCAGCUCUUGAGUGAAGUAGAGGCAG